GCCCGGGUGGCGAAACCGGUAGACGCAGGGGACUUAAAAUCCCCAAUCCGAAAGGGUGUGCGGGUUCGAGUCCCGCCCCGGGCACCA
rnacentral:tRNA from 1 species